rnacentral:rRNA from 1 species
AUUCCAAGCUUCGCGGCCUAUCAGCUUGUUGGUGAGGUAACGGCUCACCAAGGCGAUGACGGGUAGCUGGUCUGAGAGGAUGGCCAGCCACAUUGGGACUGAGAAACGGCCCAGACUCCUACGGGAGGCAGCAGUGGGGAAUCUUGCGCAAUGGGCGAAAGCCUGACGCAGCGACGCCGCGUGGGGGAGGAAGGUCUUCGGAUUGUAAACCCCUGUUGCCCGGGACGAAUGCCCCCUUUUGAGGGAGUGACGGUACCGGGUGAGGAAGCACCGGCUAACUCUGUGCCAGCAGCCGCGGUAAUACAGAGGGUGCGAGCGUUGCCCGGAAUCACUGGGCGUAAAGGGCGCGUAGGUGGCUUGCCAAGCGUGUGGUGAAAGCCCGGAGCUCAACUCCGGGUCUGCCAUGCGAACUGGCAGGCUUGAGCACGGUAGAGGCCAAUGGAAUUCCGGGUGUAGCGGUGGAAUGCGUAGAGAUCCGGAAGAACACCGGUGGCGAAGGCGGUUGGCUGGGCCGUAGCUGGCACUGAGGCGCGACAGCGUGGGGAGCAAACAGGAUUAGAUACCCUGGUAGUCCACGCCGUAAACGAUGGGCACUAGGUCCUUGGGGGAGCGACCCCGUGAGGGCCGGCGCUAACGCAUUAAGUGCCCCGCCUGGGGAGUA